rnacentral:rRNA from 1 species
AGCGAACGCUGGCGGCAGGCCUAACACAUGCAAGUCGAACGAACUCUUCGGAGUUAGUGGCGGACGGGUGAGUAACACGUGGGAACGUGCCUUUUGGUUCGGAAUAACUCAGGGAAACUUGUGCUAAUACCGAAUGUGCCCUUCGGGGGAAAGAUUUAUCGCCAUUAGAGCGGCCCGCGUCUGAUUAGCUAGUUGGUGAGGUAACGGCUCACCAAGGCGACGUUCAGUAGCUGGUCUGAGAGGAUGACCAGCCACACUGGGACUGAGACACGGCCCAGACUCCUACGGGAGGCAGGAGUAGGGAAUCUUGCGCAAUGGGCGAAAGCCUGACGCAGCCAUGCCGCGUGAAUGAUGAAGGUCUUAGGAUUGUAAAAUUCUUUCACCGGGGACGAUAAUGACGGUACCCGGAGAAGAAGCCCCGGCUAACUUCGUG